UACAGAGGUCCCAAGCGUUGUUCGGAUUCAUUGGGCGGAAAGGGUGCGUAGGUGGCGUCGUAAGUCGGGUGUGAAAUCUCGGGGCUUAACUCCGAAACUGCAUUCGAUACUGCGGUGCUUGAGGACUGGAGAGGAGACUGGAAUUUACGGUGUAGCAGUGAAAUGCGUAGAGAUCGUAAGGAAGACCAGUGGCGAAGGCGGGUCUCUGGACAGUUCCUGACACUGAGGCACGAAGGCCAGGGGAGCAAACGGG
rnacentral:rRNA from 1 species